GUACAGAUAGCUGUGUAACAGUGUGUCAGAGGAUCCUCCCAAGUCCAGGAAACACUGCAGACUGCGUGUGUGAACAAGCUGCUUCUCCACAUCAACUGAAUUGGCUCCUGGAAUGGGGUAUCCAAAACUACAGUCCCAAUACGUGGUCCACUGAACCAACUUUAAGUGGCGUCCCGCUUAUCACAUCCACCAGCAGCGACCCACUGGACUAAAAGUCAUAUGAAUAAAGGUGCUGGAUAAAAUCGCUGGAUAAAAUCAAAUGGUCUUACCGUCUCCCUUGAUAGUUCAACGAAGGAAUGUACACAUCCACCUACUGAGCUAGAAGAGAAAAGUCACACAUCUAUCUACAUCUACUGUUAGAAGCUGUAACAAUUACAGGGAGAGAGCAGCAUAAAGGACACACCUCCCUGAGAAAGGACAUGCCCCCUGAGUUGCCAGCUUGAAGAAAAUCUAGCAGAGCAAUUGGAUCU